CCCCCUAAUAUAUCCGGAUUCUCAACUACAUACUUCAAUUUUACGACGGUCCUAUUACCCUCCUGAACUAUUUUAAAACAUAACAAAUAAACCCUUAAAACGUCAUAAUUAGUCAUGUAUCUUGUGAUAAAACACACGCACUUGACAUGUGUAUUUCACAAAUUAAUAUUUUAUAAAACAACUUUAUUUUCUCUUUCUUCUACUUCCUUUCUUCUUCAAUUAUCUUUAAAAGUUCAGCCCUAAUUUUUUUGUGAAAACUUCGAUCUAGGAAAAUAUUUGGGAAACAUGAAAAAUGGUUCCGGCUAGUGAAAUGAUAUAAAGCCAAUGGGAAAUGAUUUCGGCUAGUAAAAUGAUAUAAAGCCAAUGGGAAAUGGUUCCGGCUUGUGAAAUGAUAUAAAGUCGAUGAAAAAAUGGGUUCGACUAGUGAUUUGAUAUAAAGUCGAUGGGAAAUGGUUCCGACUAGUGAAAUGAUAUAAAUCGAUGAGAAAUGACUUCGUGUAGUGAAAUG
rnacentral:lncRNA from 1 species